rnacentral:misc_RNA from 1 species
CUGUUCGACAAGGCGGUGU